GACGAACGCUGGCGGCGUGCUUAACACAUGCAAGUCGAACGGAAAGGCCCUGCUCUUGUGGGGUGCUCGAGUGGCGAACGGGUGAGUAACACGUGAGUAACCUGUCCUUGACUUUGUGAUAACUUCAGGAAACUGGGGCUAAUACCGGAUAGGAGCUCCUGCUGCAUGGUGGGGGUUGGAAAGUUUCGGCGGUUGGGGAUGGACUCGCGGCUUAUCAGCUGGUUGGUGGGGUAGUGGCUUACCAAGGCUUUGACGGGUAGCCGGCCUGAGAGGGUGACCGGCCACAUUGGGACUGAGAUACGGAGCAGACUCCUACGGGAGGCAGCAGUGGGGAAUAUUGCACAAUGGGCGGACGCCUGAUGCAGCAACGCCGCGUGCGGGAUGACGGCCUUCGAGUUGUAAACCGCUUUCGCAUGUGACGAAGCGUGAGUGACGGUAAUGGGUAAAGAAGCACCGGCUAACUACGUG
rnacentral:rRNA from 1 species